rnacentral:rRNA from 1 species
CGUAGGUGGCUAAGCGUUGUCCGGAUUUAUUGGGUUUAAAGGGUGCGUAGGUGGUCUUGUAAGUCAGUGGUGAAAUACGGCAGCUCAACUGUCGAGGUGCCAUUGAUACUGCAAGACUUGAGUACAGACGAGGUAGGCGGAAUUGACGGUGUAGCGGUGAAAUGCUUAGAUAUCGUCAAGAACACCGAUAGCGAAGGCAGCUUACUAGACUGUAACUGACACUGAGGCACGAAAGUGUGGGGAUCAAACAGGAUUAGAUACCCUGGUAGUCCACACUGUAAACGAUGAUUACUCGAUGUUGGCGAUACACAGCCAGCGUCUUAGCGAAAGCGAUAAGUAAUCCACCUGGGGAGUACGCCCGCAAGGGUG